rnacentral:tRNA from 1 species
AUUAGGAUGGCAGAUCAGUGCAUAGGAUUUAAGCUUCUAUCAGGAAAUAUCUAAUUAUUUCUUCUAAUA